rnacentral:lncRNA from 1 species
CUUCUCUUCUUUCAGGAGGCUGGAGAUCAGUCAAGAGGCCACCCAUUGGUAGAUGGAAGAGGGGUGGUGUCAUAAUACUCUUCCUCUUCCCCUUCCCACUCUUGGCUGCCUACUAACAUUCCCUGAUGUUAAAGGCACAUGGAAAAAUUUUCUGAUAUGAAGAUUACAUAGAAAGAGGACAUGUUGAAUCCAUUCUUGAAGUAUUUAAGAAUGAUAUAGAUCACUUUAAAUGGUUUAAGUUAACAAUGGUGUCUAAAGCAAGGGGUCAGAAAACCUUUAAAUGGAAAACAAUAGAAACAGCCUAGGAUUUGGAGUCAGGAACCUGGCUGGAAUCCUGGUUCUUCAGCUACUACAGGCAUUUUAUUUUAAAUGAAGCUGAUGCUGCCACAGUAUUUUCAAGGGAACUGCCUUCUUGUGAAACCACUCAGCUGGCCCUUGAGCAUCCUCCUGUAUCCUGGGAAGAAAGGGAGAGAAGGUGGAGCCACUCGCUGAUGCUGAAGCCCUUUGAGAGGAAAAACAAGGCAUUGCUGGUGGUUAUUUUCCUUUUCUUUCACCCAAACUGUGAAGCUAAUCUUAAGAGAGGAAAUCUAAUGAGCCUAGUCCUUUUAAAAGAGAGAACACUAAAUAUUAGAGAAAUCUAGACCUUGAA